rnacentral:rRNA from 2 species
CCUACGGGAGGCAGCAGUAGGGAAUCUUCCGCAAUGGGCGAAAGCCUGACGGAGCAACGCCGCGUGAGUGAUGAAGGUCUUCGGAUCGUAAAACUCUGUUAUUAGGGAAGAACAAAUGUGUAAGUAACUAUGCACGUCUUGACGGUACCUAAUCAGAAAGCCACGGCUAACUACGUGCCAGCAGCCGCGGUAAU